rnacentral:rRNA from 1 species
GCCAGAGGAUGGGGCUGCGGCCGAUCAGGCCGUUGGCGAGGUAACGGCUCACCAAACCUUUGACCGGUACGGGCCAUGAGAGUGGUAGCCCGGAGAUGGACACUGAGAUAGGGGUCCAGGCCCUACGGGGCGCAGCAGGCGCGAAAACUCCACACUGUACGUAAGUACGAUGGGGUUACCUCGAGUGUAGUCUGUAAAAGAUUGCUUUUCCAUAGAGUAAUAUCCUGUGGGAAUAAGAGGGGGGCAAGACUGGUGUCAGCCGCCGCGGUAACACCAGCCCCUCGAGUGGUAGGGACUUUUAUUUGGCCUAAAGCGUUCGUAGCCGUCUGUAACCGUUGCCCGUUAAAUCCAGCGUCUCAAGCGUUGGACUGCGGGCGAUACCUUACAGAUUGAGGGUGGGAUAGGUAAGCGGUAUUUCUGGGGUAGGGGCGAAAUCCUUUGAUCCCAGGAGGACCACCAGUGGCGAAGGCUGCUUACUAGAACACGCCUGACGGUCAGGAACGAAAGCUGGGGUAGCGAACCGGAUUAGAUACCCGGGUAGUCCCAGCUGUAAACGAUGCGCGCUAGGUGUUGGGUCGGCCAUGCGCCGCCCCAGUGCCGCAGGGAAGCCGUUAAGCGCGCCGCCUGGGGAGUACGGCCGCAAGGCUGAAACUUAAAGGAAUUGGCGGGGGAGCAC